CGAGUGGCAGACGGGUGAGUAACGCGUGGGAACAUACCCUUUGGUUCGGAACAACGUUUGGAAACGGACGCUAAUACCGGAUACGGCCUGAUCUCGGGAGAGGUUUGGUGAAAGGCUUUUGCUGCCCGAAGGAUUGGCCCGCGUUCGAUUAGCUAGUUGGCGGGGUAACGGCCCACCAAGGCUGCGAUCGAUAGCUGGUCUGAGAGGAUGGCCAGCCACAUUGGGACUGAGACACGGCCCAA
rnacentral:rRNA from 1 species